AACGCGAAGAACCUUACCCAGACUUGACAUGCAUUGGAAGUUAGUAGAAAUAUUAACGCUCUUCGGAGCCGGUGCACAGGUGCUGCAUGGCUGUCGUCAGCUCGUGCCGUGAGGUGUUGGGUUAAGUCCCGCAACGAGCGCAACCCUUAUCGUUAGUUGCCAACAGGUAAUGCUGGGAACUCUAGCGAGACUGCCUGGGUUAACCAGGAGGAAGGUGAGGAUGACGUCAAGUCCGCAUGGCCCUUAUGUCUGGGGCUACACACGUGCUACAAUGGUCGGUACAGAAAGCAGCGAAACCGCGAGGUGAAGCAAAUCUCCAAAACCGACCCCAGUUCAGAUUGUAGUCUGCAACUCGACUACAUGAAGACGGAAUUGCUAGUAAUGGCAGGUCAGCAACACUGCCGUGAAUACGUUCCCGGGCCUUGUACACACCGGAGUA
rnacentral:rRNA from 1 species